AUUUGCCAAGUAUGUUCCCGUUAAUCAAGAACGAAAGUUAGAGGUUCGAAGGCGAUCAGAUACCGCCCUAGUUCUAACCAUAAACGAUGCCAGCCAGCGAUCCGCCGAAGUUCCUCCGAUGACUCGGCGGGCAGCUUCCGGGAAACCAAAGCUUUUGGGUUCCGGGGGAAGUAUGGUUGCAAAGCUGAAACUUAAAGGAAUUGACGGAAGGGCACCACCAGGAGUGGAGCCUGCGGCUUAAUUUGACUCAACACGGGAAACCUCACCAGGCCCGGACACCGGAAGGAUUGACAGAUUGAGAGCUCUUUCUUGAUUCGGUGGGUGGUGGUGCAUGGCCGUUCUUAGUUGGUGGAGCGAUUUGUCUGGUUAAUUCCGGUAACGAACGAGACUCUAGCCUGCUAAAUAGACGAUUUCCGGUAUCCACAAUAGUGCUACCGGCGAAAUCAAUAUCUUCUUAGAGGGACAAGCGGCUUUCAGCCGCACGAAACUGAGCAAUAACAGGUCUGUGAUGCCCUUAGAUGUCCUGGGCCGCACGCGCGCUACACUGAAGGAAUCAGCGUGUAUACCCUGGCCGAAAGGCUCGGGCAACCCGUUGAACCUCCUUCGUGCUAGGGAUUGGGGCUUGCAAUUGUUCCCCAUGAACGAGGAAUUCCCAGUAAGCGCGAGUCAUAAGCUCGCGUUGAUUACGUCCCUGCCCUUUGUACACACCGCCCGUCGCUACUACCGAUUGAAUGAUUUAGUGAGGUCUUCGGACUGGUGCGCGGUGACCGCAUCCGUGGCCGCCGAUGCCACCGGGAAGAUGACCGAACUUGAUCAUUUAGAGGAAGUA
rnacentral:rRNA from 1 species